rnacentral:tRNA from 4 species
GGCGCGAUGGCCAAGUGGGAAGGCGGCAGCCUGCAAAGCUGCUACCCGCAGGUUCGAUUCCUGCUCGCGCCUCCU